rnacentral:rRNA from 1 species
CGAACGCUGGCGGCAGGCCUAAUACAUGCAAGUCGAACGGCUCUUUGGAGCAGUGGCGGACGGGUGAGUAACGCGUGGGAAUGUGCCCUUUGGCACGGAACAACACAGGGAAACUUGUGCUAAUACCGUAUGUGCCCUUCGGGGGAAAGAUUUAUCGCCAUUGGAGCAGCCCGCGUUGGAUUAGGUAGUCGGUGAGGUAAAGGCUCACCAAGCCUACGAUCCAUAGCUGGUCUGAGAGGAUGACCAGCCACACUGGGACUGAGACACGGCCCAGACUCCUACGGGAGGCAGCAGUAGGGAAUCUUGCGCAACGGGCGAAAGCCUGACGCAGCCAUGCCGCGUGUAUGAUGAAGGUCUUAGGAUUGUAAAAUACUUUCACCGGGGAAGAUAAUGACGGUACCCGGAGAAGAAGCCCCGGCUAACUUCGUGCCAGCCGCCGCGGUAAGAC